GACGAAGGGGGCUAGCGUUGUUCGGAAUUACUGGGCGUAAAGCGCGUGUAGGCGGUUGUUCAAGUCAGGUGUGAAAGCCUUGAGCUCAACUCAAGAAAUGCACUUGAUACUGGAUGACUAGAGGACCGGAGAGGAUAGUGGAAUUCCCAGUGUAGUGGUGAAAUACGUAGAGAUUGGGAAGAACACCAGUGGCGAAGGCGGCGACCUGGACAGGUACUGACACUCAACUACGAAAGCGUGGGGAGCAAACAGG
rnacentral:rRNA from 1 species